rnacentral:tRNA from 1 species
UAUUAAGUGGCCGAACAUCUAAGCACUAAACUUUUAAUCUAAAUAAUGAUUAUUAUUUUAAUCCUUAAUAA